rnacentral:rRNA from 2 species
UGGGGAAUCUUCCGCAAUGGACGAAAGUCUGACGGAGCAACGCCGCGUGAGUGAUGACGGCCUUCGGGUUGUAAAGCUCUGUCUUCAGGGACGAUAAUGACGGUACCUGAGGAGGAAGCCACGGCUAACUACGUGCCAGCAGCCGCGGUAAUACGUAGGUGGCGAGCGUUGUCCGGAUUUACUGGGCGUAAAGGGAGCGUAGGCGGACUUUUAAGUGAGAUGUGAAAUACCCGGGCUCAACUUGGGUGCUGCAUUUCAAACUGGAAGUCUAGAGUGCAGGAGAGGAGAAUGGAAUUCCUAGUGUAGCGGUGAAAUGCGUAGAGAUUAGGAAGAACACCAGUGGCGAAGGCGAUUCUCUGGACUGUAACUGACGCUGAGGCUCGAAAGCGUGGGGAGCAAACAGG